CUCCUGGCCUCAAGCGAACUCCUGCCUCAGCCUCCCAAAGUACUGGGAUUAUAGGUGUGAGCCACUGCAGCCAGCUUCCAGACUCCUUCAAUGAGGAGGGCUUUCCCAGAGAUUAGGAUUCAGCCCCUGAUCCAGCGGCCAACAUCCUGCUGACAAGACUGCCUUAAGCGCCAAGGACCACUCAGAUCUUGAAGAAAGCAGCUCUUCUUAUCACAUCAGGGAAGAGGCCCCUGUUUGGCACUAAAGCACCAAGUGGGAUGUGGUGAGAUCACAGGAUAAAGGUUACUUCCUGUC